GCUUUCAGAGACCAAGGACCAUCUCCACUUCCUGCAGACUUUGUCAUCUUGCUGUGCCCUUCCUGCUGAUGGAGACUCGCUGAGCUUCACUGUUACCACUGAUUUCUCAUCUGAAGACCUGAGAAAGAAGCUGUCAGGUCUGACAAAGAGUGUGGAGAGUUCAGCCAAGGGGACAUCACGACAAGGACUCCAUCAGGAGCUCCGCACUUUCAACCAUCUGCGCUGUGCAGGCUGCUAGGACACCAGCGUGUAAAACUGGAUCCGUGCGGAGGAGCCCAUACUGGUCAUGAUGAUACGGCUCCACAUGUGCCAGGACUUGUAGCGCCUCACAAUGCUCACCCGCUAGGCUGCCCCUUGUUCUCGUGGCAGCGCCUUCAAUAC